GACGAACGCUGGCGGCGUGCUUAACACAUGCAAGUCGAGCGGAGCGGCGAACGGGUGAGUAACGCGUGAGUAACUGCCCCCCUCUCUGGGAUAACAGUUGGAAACGGCUGCUAAUACCGGAAAGUGGGGGAUGACUCGGGUCCUAUCAGCUUGUUGGUGGGGUAGUGGCCUACCAAGGCGCCGACGGGUAGCCGGCCUUAGGGGGCGACCGGCAACAUUUGGCUGAGGUACGGGCCAAACUCCUACGGGGGGCAGCAGGUGGGAAUAGUGCGCAAUGGGGGAAACCCUGAAUCAGCAACGCCGCGUGGGGGAUGACGGCCUUCGGGUUGGAAACCGCCUUCAGCCAUGACGCGGUAGGUGCAGGAGGAGCACCGGCUAACUACGUGCCAGCAGCCGCGGUAAUUC
rnacentral:rRNA from 1 species